rnacentral:rRNA from 1 species
GGGCCCGCACAAGCGGUGGAGCAUGUGGUUUAAUUCGACGCAACGCGAAGAACCUUACCAGCUCUUGACAUUGCUAAGUCGCGAGUUUUAGAGAUAAAACUCUUCAGUUCGGCUGGACUUAGUACAGGUGCUGCAUGGCUGUCGUCAGCUCGUGUCGUGAGAUGUUGGUUAAGUCCCGCAACGAGCGCAACCCUUGUCCUUAGUUGCCAGCAAUUCGGUUGGGCACUCUAGGGAGACUGCCGGUGAUAAACCGGAGGAAGGCGGGGAUGACGUCAAGUCCUCAUGGCCCUUACGGGCUGGGCUACACACGUGCUACAAUGGCGUCUACAAUGGGUCGCAAUAGGGCAACCUAAAGCU